UCCCCUAGGGUGAGAAAGCGUUCAUUUACACCUAAAGGAACGGGAUUUGUGUUCUCUGUUUUGGACCAAGCAGCGCUCCGUACACUGAGAGGCGUUAACAAGUUGGAGAUUGUUGUGAAAAUUAGCCUCCAGCCGCUGGUAACGAGCCACAGAUCUUUCAUCAGCCGGAGUGUAGCUCACAGCGGCGGCCACAGCUGGAAGAGAAUCCCGCUCAGACGCAGUGAAUGGGCCGGUGAAUCCAGUCCAUCGGGAUGAGCACAAAGGGAGGUCUCACGGCUCUGACGCGCAGGAACUACAGACUGGCCUCGGACAUGGACAAACCCAGAUCCACAGGUAUCGUGAAUGAGAAGCUGCUGAGCGACUACCUGCAUCAUGUGUUUCCACCCAGCACACAGGGACCGACUGUCGCGUCACUCAGGAAGCCUCUGGGUUUCCAGGACCUGGGCUCUCAUCUGGAGAGACUUCUGUCUGAAGGAGAAACUUCUGAGGACAGCAGAGAUCCGUCUGCCGAAGGUCGUCUGGGCCCUCAGCCUGUGGUUCUGGAUCACACCAGCGGCUUUGAAGGUCUUCUGUUUGUGGAUGACGACCUGCUGGGGGUGAUCGGCCACAGUAACUUCAGCUCCAUCAGAGCCACCACCUGUGUUUAUAAAGGGAAAUGGACCUACGAGGUUCUGAUCUCCUCUCAGGGUCUGAUGCAGAUCGGCUGGUGCACGCUGAGCUGUCGCUUCAACCAGGAGGAAGGGGUUGGGGACACUCCGGACUCAUACGCCUACGAUGGGAACCGAGUGAGGAAGUGGAAUGUGACGACCACCAACUAUGGAAAGUCGUGGGCAGCUGGAGACAUUGUGAGCUGUCUGAUCGACCUGGACGAAGGAACCAUCACCUUCUGCCUGAAUGGUCAGUCUCUGGGCACGGCCUUCAACAACAUUAAGAUGGGUCCUGGCGUGGCGUACUUCCCGGCCAUCAGCCUAUCCUUCAAAGAGUCGGUGGCUUUUAACUUCGGCAGCAGACCGCUCAGAUACCCGGUGGAAGGCUACUUGCCCCUGCAGGACCCCCCCACUGCAGACCUGCUGAAGGCCCACAGACUGCUGAGCCACAUCAAGAACGUCCUCUCCACCUCCAUCAAUGUUCAGGAGGAGAAGCUGUUGGAGAAGGACUCUUCAGUCUGGAGGCUUCAUGGAGAACCAACAGUUCUUAUCACUCUGGCUCACAUCUUCAACCAUUUUGCUCCUCUCAUGUGUAAGGUCUACCUGGUGGAGGACGUGCUGAUGAACUUCCUGCUGGGAAUCCUGGAAGGAGGAGGAUCUGUGGAUGAACACCCUCUCAUCCAGCAGCUGCUGGACCUCUUCUGGCUGCUGAUGGAGGACCACGAGGUCAACGAGUGUCUGAAGCAGCUCAUGAUGUCUCUGCUGAGGGCGUACCGUUUCUCUCCCAUCAUCCCAGACCUGGGCUUCCAGAUCCACUAUCUGCGUCUGACCACAGCCAUCCUGCGUCAUGAGAAGUCCAGGAAGUACCUGCUCAACAGUGUCCUGUUUGAUGUUCUGCGUUCAGUGGUCUUCUUCUACAUCAAGACUCCUCUGAGAGUCAAGGAGGCAGGGCUGGAGGAACUCAUCCCGACCACCUGGUGGCCCACGCACUUUGACAAAGAGGGUAAAGAUGAACGAGAUCCCAAAGACGAGAGCUCAGAUGAGCGUCUGAGACGCCGGGCGUACGAGCGCGGCUGCCAGAGGCUGAAGAAGAGGAUCGAAGUGGUGGAGGACCUGCAGGUCCAGAUCCUUAAGCUGCUGCUUAACAACAAAGACAAAGCCACGGGAGAGGCUUCUCGUUACAUUUUCCUCAACAAGUUCCGGAAGUUCCUGCAGGAAAAUGCCAGCAACCGAGGGCACCCCACAGCUCUGUGUCCUCCAGAGUACAUGGUGUGUUUCCUGCACCGCCUCAUCACCGCCGUGAGGAGCUGCUGGGAUGAAGGCAGCAGGACGAGUCCGAGCAGCCUCAGCAGUGAAGAGGCUUACGUCCCCCCUCAGCUCUUCUACAAUGGGAAGGUGGACUACUUUGACCUGCAGAGACUAGGGGGGCUCCUGUCCCACCUGAAGAAGACGCUCAAAGAUGACCUGGCCAGUAAGGCCAACAUCAUCAUCGAUCCUGCAGAGAUCCAGGCCACAUCCAUGGAGGACCUGGAUGAAGACGAGGAAAGCGGAGCUGCUCAGAGGCCUUUUGGAGCAGCAGCAAUGGGUGGAGCUCUAGCAAGGCCCAGCUGGUUGAGUUCUCCCACAUUGGGCCGGGCCAACCGGUUCCUGAGCACGGCCGCUGUCAGCCUGAUGACGCCCAGACGGCCGCUGUCUCAACCAGAGAAGGUGAAGGUCCGGACCCUGGCUGUGGAGCAGCGUACCGAGGAGGACAUCGAAGGGAGCCACGGAAAAGACGGCCUGUUGCUGGGGCGACCGCAGGAGGAGCCCGAUCAGCCAAUCACAGACAAGUCUCUGCUGGAGAUCAUUGAUGGCAUCGUGAUGAUGUACAACCUGAGCGUCCAUCAGCAGCUGGGGAAGAUGGUGGUGGUGGCAGAUGAAGUCCAUGAAUACGCCGUGGCUCUGAAGGACACGGAGGAGAAGAUCGCUCGCUGUCCUGCCAGGCGUGCAGACAUCCUGGAGGAGCUCCAGAAGAGUCAGAAGGUUUUUGCUGAGAAGUUGAACCACCUGAGCCGCAGACUUGCCUGGAUCAACGCCACCAUCUACUCCAAGGAGAAGAUGCUGGACGUCUACUGGCUGCUGUGUGUUUGCAUCCGGACCAUCGAGCACGCCGACAACACGGGUUGUUUGUUCGCCUUCACGCCAGAGUUCUACCUGAAUGUGGCCAUGAACGCGUACAGCGCCCUGAAGAACUACUUCAGCCCUGCCAACAGCAUGGAGGAGCUGCCAGGCUAUGAAGAAAUGUUGACGCAGCUCGCCGCCAUCUUUGCCAAGCACUUUGCAGACCCACGCAUUGUUGGAACAGAUAUCAAAGAUUCCCUGAUGCAGGCGUUGGCCAGCUAUGUCUGUUACCCACAAUCCCUUAGGGCGGUGGAGAGGAUCCCAGAGGAGCAGCGAGUGGCCAUGAUGAGGAACCUUCUGGCUCCGUAUGAACAGAGACCCUGGGCUCAGACCAACUGGAUCUUGGUCAGACUUUGGAGGGGUUGUGGGUUUGGCUACAGGUACACCCGUCUGCCUCACCUGCUGAAAACCAAACCUGAGGACGCCAACCUGCCCAGCCUGCAGAGAGAUCUGUCCAUUGCUAGUUUCCAGAAGCCGUGCCCGUCGUCGCUGCUGCAGAAACACAUGGCAGAGCUGCUGAGUAUGGAUAAAGACAUGGCCGCCUCUUUUCUCAACAGCGUCCUGAACCAGCUCAACUGGGCCUUCUCCGAGUUCAUCGGCAUGAUCCAGGAGAUCCAGCAGGCUGCAGAGCGUCCAGAGAGGAACUAUGUGGACACUCGUCAGCUGAAGGUGUGUGCGACCUGCUUCGACCUGUCCGUCAGCCUGCUGAGGGUUCUGGAGAUGACAGCCACUCUGGUCCCGGAGAUCUUCCUGGACUGGUCCCGCCCGUCAGCAGAGCUUCUUCUGAGAAGGCUCGCUCAGCUGCUGAACCAGGUGCUGAACAGAGUGACAGCUGAGAAGAACCUGUUUGAUCGGGUCGUUAACCUCAGACUGCCAGGUCUGGAGAGUGUGGACCACUACCCGAUACUGGUGGCAGUGACAGGAAUUCUGGUCCGGAUCCUGGUGGAUGGAGACAAGCAGGGAACGUCUCGAGCUGCUGCCGUCCUCCUCUCUGACCCCUGCUUUCAGCUCCACUCCAUCCAGCACCUCCUAGGAGAACCAGGAGACUCCUCUGGAUCAUCGGCUGCCUGCCGGCCUGCAGCUGCAUCUUCAGGAUCCUCUGUGUCUCCAUCGGCUGCUGGGAACUCCUCAGAGAGAAAACAUUUCUCCCUGCAUGCAUACACCGACUACAUCAGCCAGGAGGAGAAGCAGAAGGUGGAGUUGAUGCUGGAGUUUCUCACUGAGGAGUCCAAACAGGCUGCCGCCUCCACAGCUCCGACCAGUGAAGAAGAUCUCUGCCCCAUCUGCUACGCCCACUCCAUCUCUGCUGUCUUCAGGCCCUGCUCGCACAAGUCCUGCAAGUGAGCCCACAGAACCACACACUGAACCGCAUGCAGAACCACAGAACCCUGUUACCCCGAGCUGUCUGCUUCAUUACUGAGUUACAGUGAAGAAUUGCAGCAGAGCCUGUAUCAACCAGCAUCUGAUGAACAACAAGGACUGUUUCUUCUGCAAGGCCACCAUCACUGGGGUAGAAGAUUACAGCAAGCCCUCCUUCUCCUCCUAACACACACACACACACACACACACACACACACACACCUCGCCAGGUAACCUGAAGACGUUGCAGAGAACCGAGCAGCCAAUCACCUCCUAGCUCUCGACUCCAUCACAGACCAGUGGGAUGAGCUUUUAUUUUGAAGGAGUCCAGGUGUGUGUUAGGGGUGUGUGUGUGACAAUGGUAGCAGCUCUGACUCUGGACUGUUCUUCACCUUCAGGACCAGAACACGUUCACAGUUUGUUCCCUUGAAGCUUCAUUAAAUGCAGUUUUUCUUCUUUAACUGACCCAUUAAUGAGCUGCAGCAUCAGAACCGAACUUGGAUCAGUGCCACUUUAGUUCUAGGAUCUCCUGUGGGUCUGCAGCUUGUGAUGAUUUCAGAAUGGAAACACCUUCAGAUGCAAUUAGACAAAAUACUGAUGCAGCUGUGAGGAAAUAAACUGAGCAAACACUCACAGACAGGAUCACUGCAGGAGGCCCUGACCCCUGGGGGCCCUGACCCCUGGGGGCCCUGACCCCUGGGGGCCCUGACCCCUGGGGGCCCUGACCCCUGGGGGCCCUGACCCCUGACAUUAGAACUGUGGAGAGAAACCAGCCUGUCAGUCUGAUCUCUGAUUACAGCCAUGCGUCACACAGGUGUUUAGGCUGAAAAGAGGCUCCGCCCCCUGAAGCAGCUUUUUUAAACUGUAGCGUUUCCCUGGAAACCAGCUGCUGACGGGUUAAUGGACCUUUCCACAGGCCCGGAGAAUAAAAUCAUGACAGAGAGCUGAUCACUUCCUCAUUAAAAAACGUUUCACACAGAUUCAUCAAAACUCUUCAGAAUUCCUGCAGCGCCUAAACGCAGCACGUGUUUGUGUCUUAGAGGAGUGUGCACGUUUGAGCGUGCACACUCAAACGUGCACACUCAAACGUGCACACUCAAACGUGCACACUCAAACGUGCACACUCAAACGUGCACAUGGAGGAAAGCCUGUCAGGAGAACAAACUGAUGUGGGAGGUUGAAGAUGAGGUGUUCUCUGUCUGCUUAGACUGAAGUUUGGGUCAGAACACAAACAGGUUCUGUAUGUUUUAGUGUUCAUGCAGGAGAACUGAGCGGAGGUGCCCAGGCCAAGCUCUGUAGAUGUUCUGGUUCUGGUGGUUUAAAGUUCCUGGAGGUGAUGCAGUUUUCUGCCUCAGUUUCUGUCCUUGAUUGUGAAACAAAUGAAACAUCGGGUCAUCUUGGGUUCUGCCCCAAUCCUUGUGAAUGAAAAUCUAAGAUGGACUCAGACAGCUGAAGACAGUCCUUCUAACCUGAUGGUUCUGAGGUUCUGAUGUGAACUGAAUGGAUGUGGUGUGUCUCAGUUUGCUUCAGUUCCUCUCAGUUUAGCAUCAGGAUGAAGCUGAAGGUUGAACUUUAACAUCUUCUAUAAGUGCUUCAGAGCAAUAAUAGAGUAAUGGAUCUGUUGGUUCUGAUCAGGAUAUGUUCUGUUGGUGUGAAAGUGGAACAGAUCAAAUAUGUAACCUCAAUAAAUUAUUUAUCGUGAACCAA